rnacentral:rRNA from 1 species
GACGAACGCUGGCGGCGUGCUUAACACAUGCAAGUCGAACGAUGAAGCGGGUGCUUGCACUCGUGGAUUAGUGGCGAACGGGCGAGUAACACGUGAGUAACCUGUCCUUUUCUUUGGGAUAACGGCUGGAAACGGCCGCUAAUACUGGAUAUUCAGGCUGCAUCGCAUGGUGUGGUUUGGAAAGGUUUUUUCUGGGAUUGGGUGGGCUCGCGGCCUAUCAGCUUGUUGGUGGGGUGAUGGCUUACCAAGGCUUUGACGGGUAGCCGGCCUGAGAGGGUGGUCGGUCGCACUGGGACUGAGAUACGGCCCAGACUCCUACGGGAGGCAGCAGUGGGGAAUAUUGCACAAUGGACGAAAGUUUGAUGCAGCGACGCCGCGUGGAGGGUGUAGGCCUUCGGGUUGUGAACUCCUUUGUCUCGCGGAAAAGGCACAGUUUUGGCUGUGUUGAUGGUAGUGGGGGAAGAAGCGCCGGCUAACUACGUG